rnacentral:rRNA from 1 species
AGUUUGAUCCUGGCUCAGGACGAACGCUGGCGGCGUGCUUAACACAUGCAAGUCGAACGGAAAGGCCCUGCUUGCAGGGUACUCGAGUGGCGAACGGGUGAGUAACACGUGGGUGAUCUGCCCUGCACUUCGGGAUAAGCUUGGGAAACUGGGUCUAAUACCGGAUAGGAACCAUCUUUAGUGUGGUGGUUGGAAAGUUUUUUCGGUGUAGGAUGAGCUCGCGGCCUAUCAGCUUGUUGGUGGGGUAAUGGCCUACCAAGGCGGCGACGGGUAGCCGGCCUGAGAGGGUGUACGGCCACAUUGGGACUGAGAUACGGCCCAGACUCCUACGGGAGGCAGCAGUGGGGAAUAUUGCACAAUGGGCGCAAGCCUGAUGCAGCGACGCCGCGUGGGGGAUGAAGGCCUUCGGGUUGUAAACUCCUUUCGCUAGGGACGAAGCUUUUUGUGACGGUACCUAGAUAAGAAGCACCGGCUAACUACGUGCCAGCAGCCGCGGUAAUACGUAGGGUGCGAGCGUUGUCCGGAAUUACUGGGCGUAAAGGGCUCGUAGG